CCUACGGGUGGCAGCAGUGGGGAAUAUUGCACAAUGGGCGCAAGCCUGAUGCAGCCAUGCCGCGUGUGUGAAGAAGGCCUUCGGGUUGUAAAGCACUUUCAGCGGGGAGGAAGGCGUUGAGGUUAAUAACCUCAUCGAUUGACGUUACCCGCAGAAGAAGCACCGGCUAACUCCGUGCCAGCAGCCGCGGUAAUACGGAGGGUGCAAGCGUUAAUCGGAAUUACUGGGCGUAAAGCGCACGCAGGCGGUCUGUCAAGUCGGAUGUGAAAUCCCCGGGCUCAACCUGGGAACUGCAUUCGAAACUGGCAGGCUAGAGUCUUGUAGAGGGGGGUAGAAUUCCAGGUGUAGCGGUGAAAUGCGUAGAGAUCUGGAGGAAUACCGGUGGCGAAGGCGGCCCCCUGGACAAAGACUGACGCUCAGGUGCGAAAGCGUGGGGAGCAAACAGGAUUAGAUACCCUUGUAGUC
rnacentral:rRNA from 1 species